AUGUUAUAAAGAAAGGCAGAGGGAUUAGACCCAAUGAAGCCUUAGCAACCCUUCGAGAAAUCGAAGAAGGUGCUGCAUUCUACCACACUAAAGUGGAAAGAUAACAA
rnacentral:ncRNA from 1 species